UGGGGAAUUUUGGACAAUGGGCGAAAGCCUGAUCCAGCAAUGCCGCGUGUGUGAAGAAGGCCUUCGGGUUGUAAAGCACUUUUGUCCGGAAAGAAAUCCUUGGCUCUAAUACAGUCGGGGGAUGACGGUACCGGAAGAAUAAGCACCGGCUAACUACGUGCCAGCAGCCGCGGUAAUACGUAGGGUGCAAGCGUUAAUCGGAAUUACUGGGCGUAAAGCGUGCGCAGGCGGUUUGCUAAGACCGAUGUGAAAUCCCCGGGCUCAACCUGGGAACUGCAUUGGUGACUGGCAGGCUAGAGUAUGGCAGAGGGGGGUAGAAUUCCACGUGUAGCAGUGAAAUGCGUAGAGAUGUGGAGGAAUACCGAUGGCGAAGGCAGCCCCCUGGGCCAAUACUGACGCUCAUGCACGAAAGCGUGGGGAGCAAACAGGAUUAGAUACCCUGGUAGUCCACGCCCUAAACGAUGUCAACUAGUUGUUGGGGAUCAUUCCUUAGUAACGUAGCUAACGCGUGAAGUUGACCGCCUGGGGAGUACGUCGCAAGAUU
rnacentral:rRNA from 1 species